GUGCUAUCUUCAGCAGCAUAUUUAUUAAAAUUGGAAUGAUACAAAGAAGAUUAGCAUGGCCCCUGCGCAAGGAUGGCAUGUAAAUUCAUGAAGCAUUCCAUGUUAAA